rnacentral:rRNA from 1 species
UACGAAGGGUGCAAGCGUUGCUCGGAAUUAUUGGGCGUAAAGGGUAGGUAGGUGGUCUCAUUUGUCUGGGGUGAAAGCCUUGAGCUUAACUCAAGAAGUGCCCCGGAAACGGUGAGACUGGAGUCCUGGAGAGGGUCGUGGAAUUCCCGGUGUAGCGGUGAAAUGCGUAGAGAUCGGGAGGAACACCAGAGGCGAAGGCGGCGACCUGGACAGGCACUGACACUCAACUACGAAAGCGUGGGGAGCAAACAGG